rnacentral:lncRNA from 1 species
GAAAAUAACAUCUUAGGUCCCUGAACAUUUUCAUUUUGUUUUAAUUUAAUCUUUUAUUCAUUUUUUUGUUUUUUUGUUUUCUUGCAAUUCAGACUUCAAAUUUUUUUGGGGUUUCAAUUUAGUCUUUAUUUUUAGAAUCGGUCCCUUUAUUUUCUGUUAUUUAAAUUACAGCAUGCUUAAAUUUUAUUUAUUUAUUUUUUGCCCUUUGAAUUACGAAUUUUAUAAGUUUACCCUCAAAUUUUCCAGUUAUUUUCUUUUAGUCUUUUAUUUACCUUUUUUUAAAUUUGCCCUUUAAAUUUUGUUUAAAUUUCAUUUUAGUCCUCUAUUUAUUUCAUUCAGC